GUCAAGCAACAAAGCGUACGUGGUGGAUGCCUUGGCAGCUAGAGGCGAUGAAGGACGUGGUAGGCCACGAAAGUCUUCGGGGAGCAGUCAAACAUGCUUUGAUCCGGAGGUGUCCGAAUGGGGAAACCCACCCAGCUUGCUGGGUAUCGUUAACUGAAUUCAUAGGUUAACGAGGCAAACGCGGAGAACUGAAACAUCUAAGUACCCGUAGGAAAAGAAAUCAACCGAGAUUCCCCUAGUAGCGGCGAGCGAACGGGGAGUAGCCCUUAAGUUACAUAAGAUUUAGCAGAACGCUCUGGAAAGUGCGGCCAUAGAGGGUGAUAGCCCCGUAUACGAAAGGUCUUAUGUGAUGAAAUCGAGUAGGUCGGGACACGUGUAAUCUUGACUGAAUAUGGGGGGACCAUCCUCCAAGGCUAAAUACUCCUAGCUGACCGAUAGUGAACUAGUACCGUGAGGGAAAGGCGAAAAGAACCCCGGUGAGGGGAGUGAAAUAGAACCUGAAACCGCGUACGUACAAGCAGUCGGAGCCCUACGGGGUGACGGCGUACCUUUUGUAUAAUGGGUCAGCGAGUUAUUGUCAGUAGCAAGGUUAACCGUUUAGGGGAGCCGUAGGGAAACCGAGUCUUAAUAGGGCGUCUUAGUUGCUGGUAAUAGACCCGAAACCGGGCGAUCUAGCCAUGGGCAGGUUGAAGGUGCCGUAACAGGCACUGGAGGACCGAACCCACCUAUGUUGAAAAAUGGGGGGAUGACCUGUGGCUCGGAGUGAAAGGCUAAUCAAGCCCGGAGAUAGCUGGUUCUCCUCGAAAUCUAUUUAGGUAGAGCCUCAUGUUUAACUGCUGGGGGUAGAGCACUGUGUCGGCUAGGGGGUCAUCCCGACUUACCAACCCGAUGCAAACUCCGAAUACCAGUAAGUUCAAUCAUGGGAGACAGACUGCGGGUGCUAACGUCCGUAGUCGAAAGGGAAACAACCCAGACCGCCA
rnacentral:rRNA from 1 species